rnacentral:lncRNA from 1 species
ACCACAAAGCCCUGACUCAAAGGUCGCACUACACUGCCCAGCUCUCCCCAAAAUCGUCUUUCCGCUGCGUUUGGGGCAUAUACAUUUAUAAAAUGGAUCGUUUGCGUUCCUAAAGAAUCAGUGAGACAUAGGUAUCUACCCUCCCCAUCCAAGCUUGACCCCAUCACCUGCAGAUUACAAUGCUUGUUUAUCAGAAUUUCUACCCCAUUGUGUGUGCAGAAAGAUCUAGAGGCGUAGGACAUGUUGUAAUUCCUAUCCCUUAGAGCAGUCUGGGAUGUCCUGGGUAUGUGAGUCUCCAGAAGAAAAGCAAUGUCCGCCUUCAUACGUUUUAAUUCCUUAGAUAAUCGUAAAUGUCACUUCCUGGGAGAGUUUAGGCCUUUGACAUUUAGGUAUACUACUAUAAGAACCAUUAAGGUGGGACAUGUGCUCAGUCAACCAUAGGCCAAAUAUUCUGGCGCCACCUGGGGGGUGGUGCCCUUCAAUCCCCUGUAGUGUCUAUACUCACUGUGUGGGGGAGGGGGGAGGGGAUAGAGGAAACAGAAAAACAAGAAGAAGAAACCGUCCGGUAUAGUGGGCAACAGGGGGCGGAAGAUUGCGGUCAGGAGGUCAGCUACACUCCCUUCACCAGAUGCUUCGGGAAGGCCCUGCACCCGUACUUUAAAUCUUUUGGACUUGUUGGAUAAGUCCUCCAACAGGCCCUCCACCGCUUGCAGACGAACCCGAAGAUCAUCAGCGGAGUCUGCAACCGCGUUAUGGGCUUGUAGUACUUGCUCCACCCUGGUCUCCAGCUCCGCUGUGCGAUUCCCAAUAGCCUGUGUAACAACAAGCACAGUAUGACUGCAAAGGACAAAUGGAUUAUACGGCCGUUCGGUAUUUUGUUUGUCAGCAUUCACCAUGCGAAUGCUUACCUGCCUUAACAGGCCACCUUAACUGCUAAUUAUGGCCAAUUUACCUCCCUGUUUGAUGGGCACUUUAUUCGAAUCAACCGCACGAACGCUAUGGGAACUGUAAGCUCAGCCACCAUUUCGGGACUUACACGUGUUCGCGGCCAUUUUAACUCCCGAACAGCGGUGUUUGCCGAUGAAUGUCUGGAACUAACAUCGGACACUCAAACAGGCGAACACCGCUGAGACCUCCAUACCUUCGGGAAAACAUCGCCAAAUCUACCGAACGACCGGGCGUUCGGUAGAAAGAAUUAGCAGCAGAUGGGGAUUUCAACAAACCCAGGAUGGUAUACGGAUGGCCGGCCGUUCGGGAGUUUUUACCCACGUUCUUAGACCGACUGCAGGGCCAGCAUUCAUGGAACUGUUUUCGGCUACUGUGCCCGUGCGGUCGGUCAAAACUUCUAAGUCCUAUAUGUCCCGAACGGCUGAACCGAUUGAGCUGAUUUUUACAUAUGUUGGUACCUGAAAUGUAAGCUAUCUGGGGAUAAUUUAUGUCUGUACUUGGGGUACAUCCAAACUUUGGGGAAAAACUGUUCCUUUUUAAUUAUGUUAUGUAGUUAUCUGAGGGGAGGGAAUUUACCGAAUGUAUAUUGUAUGGAUUGGUUGUACUGCUAAUUAUGUGGGUGUCUCCCUUGCAUGGGUAGAAUC